rnacentral:rRNA from 1 species
UACGUAGGGUGCAAGCGUUUGUCCGGAAUUAUUGGGCGUAAAGAGCUCGUAGGCGGUUUGUUGCGUCGGCUGUGAAAUCCCGAGGCUCAACCUCGGGUCUGCAGUCGAUACGAGCAAACUAGAGUGUUGCAGGGGAGACUGGAAUUCCUGGUGUAGCGGUGAAAUGCGCAGAUAGUCAGGAGGAACACCGGUGGCGAAGGCGGGUCUCUGGGCAACAACUGACGCUGGAGGAAGCGAAAGCGUGGGGAGCAAACAGG